rnacentral:rRNA from 1 species
UGUUUGAUGUUCUAACGUUGGCCCCUGAUCGGGGUUGCGGACAGUGUCUGGUGGGUAGUUUGACUGGGGCGGUCUCCUCCUAAAGAGUAACGGAGGAGCACGAAGGUUGGCUAAUCCUGGUCGGACAUCAGGAGGUUAGUGCAAUGGCAUAAGCCAGCUUGACUGCGAGCGUGACGGCGCGAGCAGGUGCGAAAGCAGGUCAUAGUGAUCCGGUGGUUCUGAAUGGAAGGGCCAUCGCUCAACGGAUAAAAGGUACUCCGGGGAUAACAGGCUGAUACCGCCCAAGAGUUCAUAUCGACGGCGGUGUUUGGCACCUCGAUGUCGGCUCAUCACAUCCUGGGGCUGAAGUAGGUCCCAAGGGUAUGGCUGUUCGCCAUUUAAAGUGGUACGCGAGCUGGGUUUAGAACGUCGUGAGACAGUUCGGUCCCUAUCUGCCGUGGGCGCUGGAGAACUGAGGGGGGCUGCUCCUAGUACGAGAGGACCGGAGUGGACGCAUCACUGGUG